AGAGUUUGAUCAUGGCUCAGGAUGAACGCUAGCGGCAGGCCUAACACAUGCAAGUCGAGGGGUAACGAUGUCUUCGGACAGGCGACGACCGGCGCACGGGUGCGUAACGCGUAUGCAACCUACCUUUAACUGGAAGAUAGCCCCGAGAAAUCGGGAUUAAUACUCCAUAAUAUUUUUUAGUGGCAUCACUUUAAAAUUAAAGCUCUGGCGGUUAAAGAUGGGCAUGCGUGACAUUAGUUAGUUGGUGAGGUAACGGCUCACCAAGACUACGAUGUCUAGGGGUUCUGAGAGGAUUAACCCCCACACUGGUACUGAGACACGGACCAGACUCCUACGGGAGGCAGCAGUGAGGAAUAUUGGGCAAUGGACGCAAGUCUGACCCAGCCAUGCCGCGUGAAGGAUGAAGGCCUUAUGGGUUGUAAACUUCUUUUAUACGGGAAUAAACUUAGCUAUGUAUAGCUAACUGCAUGUACCGUACGAAUAAGCACCGGCUAACUCCGUGCCAGCAGCCGCGGUAAUACGGAGGGUGCAAGCGUUAUCCGGAUUUAUUGGGUUUAAAGGGUCCGCAGGCGGACUAAUAAGUCAGUGGUGAAAUCUCUCGGCUCAACCGAGAAACUGCCAUUGAUACUGUUAGUCUAGAGUGUAGUUGGCGUAGGCGGAAUGUAUCAUGUAGCGGUGAAAUGCUUAGAUAUGAUACAGA
rnacentral:rRNA from 1 species